CUAACUCUAGAAUUGCUUGUCUCUUGUCUUGCAGGAACGUCUGAAUUCCUGCUUAUCUGCAUUCCUUUCGGCAGGGUCUCUUCCCUUCUCCUGCCUUCUCCAUCACCACUCACAGCUUCCUUUCUUGUCAUUCCUCCACCAGGCAUGGGUAUUGAUCCGCAAGCUUUCUUCUUUAAUGACACUAACCACCGCUUGGAAUGUUGUUGGUGUGGACAGUGUCCCAAGCACGCAUUCUUUGCAGGUUCUCUUUGGUAAUGAAGUAAUCCUCUAGAAUGAGAGGGGAAAAAUGAAUUCUGUCCUAAUUAGAAAAGAAAGUAUAUGUUUGUUUUCUGUAUCUGUUACCGUGUGAUUUAAAUUAGUCAAGAUUAGAACCUACCUAAAUGUGAUUAAGAAAAUUGCAACGUACUUCCUUGGUGGUGUUUAUUCUGUCGUUAAAAUGAUGAAUGUGUACCCACUUGAGAAAAACUAUACAGAAUAAUAGUAAAUUAGCAUGCUAUGAUUAUAGCUAUUGAAUGAAAAACACAAACAUAUGGAUUAAAAAAAAUGGAAAGGCCAGAGUUCCCACUGUGGCACAGCAGAACAAAUCCAACCAGUAUCCGUGAGGAUAUGGGUUCAAUCCUUGGCCUUGCUUAGGGGGUUGGCCAUCUGGCGUUGCUGUAAGCUGUGGUAUAGUUUGCAGACUUGGUUUGGAUCUUCUGGAGCUGUAGCCACCGGCCUACGCCAGAGCCACAGCAACUCGGGAUCCGAGCCGCGUCUGUGACCUACACCACAGCUCACGGCAACGCCGGAUUCUUAACCCACUGAGCAAGGCCAAGGAUUGAACCCGCAACCUCAUGGUUCCUAGUCAGAUUCGUUAACCACUGCGCCUCAACAGGAACUCCCUACAAUUGUGACUUUUUAAGUAUAAUUUCUUUAUAUAAAGGAAAACCAGGUGUCGAAGAUCAGAUUCACUUAAUGAUAACAUUGUUUAUAAGCAGAUGUACACAAUUGACGUGAACACCCCCUUUUGUCUUAGGUUGUACGGCAGAACAUCUACCUUCUAGGUUUUCCAUCCUUCGGCAUCUCCGAGGUUUUAUGGUUUCCCAGCCACUGGUGAAAGUCCACUUUGUGUGACUGUGCAAAUCAACGAUGACCUCCAGUGCCUGGUCUGGCUUUUCCAUCGUUCCCAUUGCCCUACACAGAGGAACUGAUGCAUGUUAAUCUUUCACAUAUAUGUGUUCAGUGUUUGCUUUCAUUCAGGCACAGUGGUGGGUGUUGUCAGGCAAUCAGACACCAGGCCACUCCUCAAGGAACUGACCCACCUCAUGGAGGAGACCAAAGCCAGGGAGCCAGCCACUGAGCCGUGUGAUAGAUGCUGUGAUCUGAAUGAGGAUGCACAGUGAGGGCUGUGCCCACCAAGGUCUUUCCAGAGGGCACCUGAGUGCAGAGUGGAGUUAAGUGGCAAGGGUAGGGGGGACAGGAGGGCAUUUGACUUACCUGGAGAACUGCAGCUUGUUCUGAAUGGCUUGGGCAGAAAGGGGGUUACGAGACCACGUUGAGAAAUUUGGACUCGCCCCGAGGACAAAGAGCAGCCCCUGAAGGGUGGUGGUUAUUUAUAUUUAGUUUUUAGCAAGAGACGUGAUACACUCAGUAUUGCAUUUUGAGUGUUGGCUCCAAGUUUGGGAGAAUAGUUUGGAGAGAAAGUAGGAAAACCAGUGUCCACUGUUGCCAUAAUCCAGGUGAGCAGACGUAUCCUGAGCUAGAAUGAUGCCAAGCAGGUGUGGGGAGGAGUGAACAGUUUCCAGAAAGAUUUAUGAGGUAAGAUCCACAGAAACGAGUGAUAAGAGAGAAGAGUAGGGAGGAAGGAUUCAACAAAGAUGCCUGAGCCUCUAGCUAAGGCAGUUGGGCACAUGGAACCUGGCUCUCGGCACUUACUCAUUUAGUUGAAGGGCAGGAGCUGGUGGCGUAGUAGGUUAAAGAUCUGGCAUUGUCACCACUGCAGCUCAGAUCACUGCUGUGGUGCAGGUUUGAUCCCUGCCCUAGGAACUUCCUCAUGCCAUAGGCACAGCCA
rnacentral:lncRNA from 1 species